AGAGUUUGAUUCUGGCUCAGGAUGAACGCUGGCGGCGUGCUUAACACAUGCAAGUCGAACGAAGCACUUCACUUUGAUUCUUCGGAUGAAGAGAGUUGUGACUGAGUGGCGGACGGGUGAGUAACGCGUGGGUAACCUGCCUCAUACAGGGGGAUAACAGUUAGAAAUGACUGCUAAUACCGCAUAAGACCACAGGACUGCAUGGUCCGGUGGUAAAAACUCCGGUGGUAUGAGAUGGACCCGCGUCUGAUUAGCUAGUUGGUAAGGUAAUGGCUUACCAAGGCGACGAUCAGUAGCCGACCUGAGAGGGUGACCGGCCACAUUGGGACUGAGACACGGCCCAAACUCCUACGGGAGGCAGCAGUGGGGAAUAUUGCACAAUGGGGGAAACCCUGAUGCAGCGACGCCGCGUGAGCGAUGAAGUAUUUCGGUAUGUAAAGCUCUAUCAGCAGGGAAGAAUUAAGACGGUACCUGACUAAGAAGCACCGGCUAAAUACGUGCCAGCAGCCGCGGUAAUACGUAUGGUGCAAGCGUUAUCCGGAUUUACUGGGUGUAAAGGGAGCGUAGACGGAGAGGCAAGUCUGAUGUGAAAACCCGGGGCUCAACCCCGGGACUGCAUUGGAAACUGUUUUUCUAGAGUGUCGGAGAGGUAAGUGGAAUUCCUAGUGUAGCGGUGAAAUGCGUAGAUAUUAGGAGGAACACCAGUGGCGAAGGCGGCUUACUGGACGAUGACUGACGUUGAGGCUCGAAAGCGUGGGGAGCAAACAAGAUUAGAUACCCUGGUAGUCCACGCCGUAAACGAUGACUGCUAGGUGUCGGGAGGCAAAGCCUCUCGGUGCCGCAGCAAACGCAAUAAGCAGUCCACCUGGGGAGUACGUUCGCAAGAAUGAAACUCAAAGGAAUUGACGGGGACCCGCACAAGCGGUGGAGCAUGUGGUUUAAUUCGAAGCAACGCGAAGAACCUUACCUGCCCUUGACAUCCGGCUGACCGGCGAGUAAUGUCGCUUUUCCUUCGGGACAGCCGAGACAGGUGGUGCAUGGUUGUCGUCAGCUCGUGUCGUGAGAUGUUGGGUUAAGUCCCGCAACGAGCGCAACCCUUAUCUUUAGUAGCCAGCAUUUCGGAUGGGCACUCUGGAGAGACUGCCAGGGAUAACCUGGAGGAAGGUGGGGAUGACGUCAAAUCAUCAUGCCCCCUAUGGGCAGGGCUACACACGUGCUACAAUGGCGUAAACAAGGGAAGCGAGCCUGCGAAGGUAAGCAAAUCCCAAAAAUAACGUCUCAGUUCGGAUUGUAGUCUGCAACUCGACUACAUGAAGCUGGAAUCGCUAGUAAUCGCGAAUCAGAAUGUCGCGGCGAAAAAGGUCCCGGGUCUUGCACUCCCC
rnacentral:rRNA from 1 species